rnacentral:rRNA from 1 species
GAUGAACGCUAGCGGCAGGCUUAACACAUGCAAGUCGAGGGGUAUAGUAGCAAUACUAGAGACCGGCGCACGGGUGCGUAACGCGUAUGCAACCUACCUUUUACAGAGGGAUAGCCCAGAGAAAUUUGGAUUAAUACCUCAUAGUGUUAUUAGAUGGCAUCAUUUGAUAACUAAAGUUCCAACGGUAAAAGAUGGGCAUGCGUCCUAUUAGCUAGAUGGUAAGGUAACGGCUUACCAUGGCUACGAUAGGUAGGGGUCCUGAGAGGGAGAUCCCCCACACUGGUACUGAGACACGGACCAGACUCCUACGGAGGCAGCAGUGA